GAUUUCAAAAUGAGUUGCCAGUUUGUAAAAUCUACUGAAAACAACAACAACAAAACAAGACGAUGAUUUAAGAAGGAUUUUCUAAGACAACAAGAGAUGAUCUUGAGACAAUCUCCAGAACUGCAUUGGCUGAGGGAGAAACAACAGGAAAGGAGCCCUCCAUGUCAGAAACAUCAGAGAUAAACUCUGUCAGAGGCCACGAAAGCAUGUGUUCCUGAAGACGCCCUCAAUGUGACAGUAGUGGUUCUUGCAAUGAAGAUGUACAUGGGCACAGUCAGGUUGCUGUGCAGAUGUGUCUACACAUGUGCAUGUCUGCACAUCAGAGACCAGCUGCAGCUAUUAAUCGUCAGAGACCAUCCACAUCAUUUUAUUGUUGUUGUUUCUGCUGUUAUUUGUUUGUUUGUUUGUUUGUUUGUUUGAGGUAUGGUCUCUUGCUGCUGAGGAGAUCACCAAGUAAGCUACUAGGGUAGCUGGACACCAAGCCCCAAUGAUGCACCUCUCUGUCUCCCAGAACUGAGAUUCCAGGUAGACACAGCCAUGGUCAGCUUUGUGCUGUGAGUUUGUUUCUAAGCAUGAGGAUUCAGCACCGAGGUUAAGCAGGGCUGUAGCUUUUGCACUAUUCUGAGUGAUUUUCCUUCAUGAAGUUAGUAGUGAUUCCAGGAAGUCAGUAUUGACAUAAAAAGGCUGAGAAAACAGACAAAAAUCUACAACAAAAAGAGAGUUAGUCUUUUAUUGAUAUGAUAUGACUUUAUUUUACUGUGUUCUUAGACUUUGCAUUAAAAAGUAAUAAAAUUUGAGAGAGUUCAUUUGCAAUUAGCAUACAUCUUUUAUGCUGUGUCACCUCCCUCCACCCAGA
rnacentral:lncRNA from 1 species